AACUGCAAUUGGAAAAACACCUCCUUAUCCUACUUCUAAAAAUUCUUCUGAUCCACCUAUUGAAACUCCUCCAUCUGAUUCUACAACCACCUCAGUUACAGAACUUAAAACUGACAAAUCUCCCGAGGAAAUUGAAUUUCACUGUAGGUUUAGAAUACUUAACUGCCUAUCUGACGAACUUUAUGAAACUUAUAGGAAAUAUCAAACUGCCAAAGAUUUAUAGCUUGCCUUAGAAGAUGCCUACAUUAGAGAUAAUGAAGGUGUCGCCAGAUUUACCAUUACCGAUUUUAACAAUUUUAGAAUGGUAGACAACAUUCCUAUAAACGAUCAAAUUCACCAAUUUCAGAAUUUUGUCCAAGAGAUUCAUAGGAAUGGAUCAACCCUAGAUGAAACCUAUCAGGCAACCUGUUUAUUGGAUAAAUUACCCCCUUUCUGGACCAAAUUUGCCUAAGAUCUUAGACGAACCCAGGAAACUCUUAAACUUAGAUCGGUAAUCCAAGCCAUUAGAAUAGAAGACCAAUACCGACUUAGAGAGAUUAAACCGUCCAACAACCGAUCAAACAUAAACCUGACCGAGAUUCCGAACCAGAGCCAUGAGCCUAAACCCAAAGGUAAAAAUUUUAAACCUAAGGGUAAAGGCUUUAAAGGUAGGAACCCUAAUCGAAAUCGGAACUAUACCCAGAAACCCAAUACCAACCAACCUAGUGGGAAUAAGAAGAAUGAUGGUUUCUGUUAUGUAUGUGGCCGUGACAACCAUUUUGCCUCAAAAUGUUUUUAUCGGAAGAAAAAGAAGGUUGUCUACAAGAAGGGCCAAGACAAUCAGAACAACUAUCCUAAACCUCAGGUCAACAUGAUUAAGGGUGAACCUUCCAACUCCACUUUUAGGACACAAGUGGAGGAUGUGUGACUGUUGGAGAUGGAAAAGCUGUCAAUGUGUUGGGGAUCGGAACAGUCAAGCUGAAGUUAACUUCAGGAAAGACGUUAAUCCUUCACAAUGUGCAGCAUUCCCCUGAAAUCCGACGGAACCUGAUUAGUGGAUCUUUAUUAGUGCAAUUAGGAUAUAAGAUUGUAUUAGAAUCC